CAGCCGCCGCGGGAAUACGAAGGGUGCAAGCGUUAAUCGGAAUUACUGGGCGUAAAGCGCGCGUAGGUGGUUUGGUAAGAUGGAUGUGAAAUCCCCGGGCUCAACCUGGGAACUGCAUCCAUAACUGCCUGACUAGAGUACGGUAGAGGGUGGUGGAAUUUCCUGUGUAGCGGUGAAAUGCGUAGAUAUAGGAAGGAACACCAGUGGCGAAGGCGACCACCUGGACUGAUACUGACACUGAGGUGCGAAAGCUUGGGGAGCAAACAGGAUUAGAUACCCCUGUAGUCCCUGUCUCUUAUAU
rnacentral:rRNA from 1 species